CCUGUGUUUUUACAUAACCGGUCUCUCUUUUCAUUAAAAUAAAAAAAAAUACUAGUAUAUGUUUUGGAGAGACCUGUGGCGAGCUUAACCGGUCUCCCUAGCUUAUUUCCAUGAAUAAAAUAUAACUAAACCCUAAAAUCUUUCCCCCAAUUUUGCUUCUUCAGUCCGCCUCCUCUUCCUCUCUCUCUCCUCCUCUUACCUCAAACUCCUUAUUCCUUCUUUUCGUGAACCAUUUCAUUCACAUUUCAACUUCAAUUCCUCCAUUUCUUGUUUCAAUUCAUCUUUUCUUCGUAAUUUAAACCUAAAUUUUUUAUGUUUAUCAUUUUCUUUAACCUCGGUACUAUAUAAAUUAUUUCGCUUUCAAUUCGUCUCCAUAGACAAACCAAUGGAGCUUCAAAAGUACCUUUUAAUGGCAUUUGAGCUUCUCCUCUUGAUUUACCACUAAGAACAGGUUAUCUAUGAGCUAAUGUUUAACGGUGAUAUGAUAUAGAUGGCGAGGAUGGUAACGGAUGAUGAUGAAGAUAAUCACUCCAAUGAAACAAGUGGAUGAUAGUUCAUUUUUAGUGUUAAUUUUUUUAUGUGAUUACAAAUUAAUAGAUUAUAGUACCUAGAUAAAUUAUCUAACACGGAGUACAUAAUAUAAAUUACGAUGUACUGCGUAUCUAAUAUGUAAAUACUUUGUAUGUAUUAUGUACUACAGAUUAAUAGAUAUACCUUAGAUUGUAUUUUUUUUUUU